rnacentral:rRNA from 1 species
UACGUAGGGUGCGAGCGUUGUCCGGAAUUACUGGGCGUAAAGAGCUCGUAGGUGGUUUGUCGCGUUGUCCGUGAAAACUCACAACUCAAUUGUGGGCGUGCGGGCGAUACGGGCAGACUGGAGUACUGCAGGGGAGACUGGAACUCCUGGUGUAGCGGUGGAAUGCGCAGAUAUCAGGAGGAACACCGGUGGCGAAGGCGGGUCUCUGGGCAGUAACUGACGCUGAGGAGCGAAAGCGUGGGGAGCGAACAGG